GUAACCUGCCUCAUACAGGGGGAUAACAGUUAGAAAUGACUGCUAAUACCGCAUAAGCACACAGUACCGCAUGGUACAGUGUGAAAAACUCCGGUGGUAUGAGAUGGACCUGCGUCUGAUUAGCUAGUUGGCGGGGUAACGGCCCACCAAGGCGACGAUCAGUAGCCGACCUGAGAGGGUGACCGGCCACAUUGGGACUGAGACACGGCCCAG
rnacentral:rRNA from 1 species